CAGCCGCCACGGGAAAACGUAGGGCGCAAGCGUUAUCCGGAAUUAUUGGGCAUAAAGAGCUCGUAGGCGGUUUGUCGCGUCUGCCGUGAAAGUCCGGGGCUCAACCCCGGAUCUGCGGUGGGUACGGGCAGACUAGAGUGAUGUAGGGGAGACUGGAAUUCCUGGUGUAGCGGUGAAAUGCGCAGAUAUCAGGAGGAACACCGAUGGCGAAGGCAGGUCUCUGGGCAUUAACUGACGCUGAGGAGCGAAAGCAUGGGGAGUGAACAGGAUUAGAUACCCGUGUAGUCCCUGUCUCUUAUAC
rnacentral:rRNA from 1 species